rnacentral:lncRNA from 1 species
AUCAAAUCAGGUGAAUUGCACAAGUUUGAUAAUAAGAAGGCUGGUGAAUCCAGUCGCUUUUCACAUUCUGGUGAUCUAAAGAAAGGGAGGUCAUCUCCCCUGAGGCAUUCACGAAGUGCUUGCAUAUCCCCCUAUCGAAAUGAAGCACCUUCUGGAGUCAAAUCAGGUGAAUUGCAGAAGUUUGAGUAUAAGCAGGCUGGUGAAUCCAGUCUCUUUACACGUUCUGGUGAUCUGAAGAAAGGGAGGUUAUCUCCCCUCAGGCAUUCACGAAGUGCUUGCAUAUCCCCAUAUCGAAAUGAAGCACCUUCUGGAGUCAAAUCAGCUGAACUGCAGAAGCUUGAGUACAAGCAGGCUGGUGAGUCACGUCGCUUUUCACAUUCUGGUGAUUUAAAGAAUGGUAGGUCAUCUACCUUCAGUAAUUCACGAAGUGCUUGCGUAUCCCCCUAUCGAAAUGAAGCACCUUGUGGAGUCAAAUCAGGUGAAUUGCAGAAGUUUGAGUAUAAGCAGGCUGGUGAGUCCAAUCGCUUUUCAUAUUCUGGAGAUUUAAAGAAAGGCAGGUCAUCUACCUUCAGUAAUUCACGAAGUGCUUGCAUAUCCCCCUAUAGAAAUGAAGCACCUUGUGGAGUCAAAUCAGGUGAAUUGCAGAAGUCUGAGUAUAAGCAGGCAGGUGCAUCCAGUUGCUUAUCGCAUUCUGGUGAUUUUAAGAAUGGUAGGUCAUCUCCCUUCAGGCAUUCACGAAGUGCUUGCAUAUCCCCUUAUCGAAAUGAAGCACCAAAGUCUCCAUUUCCUGGCGUGGGGUUUCUUGGCAUUCCCAGAGAAGAGAGUGUCAAAGCCAAUAGUAAGUUCAAUCUGCGUAACAAGGGUGGUCACAAAUUUCAGGAAGUGUUAAGCCACCAAAGAAGUAUACAAGGGCCACGCUCU